UACGGAGGGUGCAAGCGUUAUCCGGAUUCACUGGGUUUAAAGGGUGCGUAGGCGGGUAAGUAAGUCCGUGGUGAAAUCUCUGAGCUUAACUCAGAAACUGCCGUGGAUACUAUUUGCCUUGAAUAUUGUGGAGGUGAGCGGAAUAUGUCAUGUAGCGGUGAAAAUGCUUAGAUAUGACAUAGAACACCAAUUGCGAAGGCAGCUCACUACUCAAUCAUUGACGCUGAGGCACGAAAAGCGUGGGGAUCAAACAGG
rnacentral:rRNA from 1 species